rnacentral:lncRNA from 1 species
GCCGUGUCUCCGGGUUCCAGCCACCUUUGCCACAACUCCCAAGGUGGAGCUACACCUCUGGACACGGCCAGGCCCAGAUGUGAGGUGGGAGGUGCUGGUUCCUGGGUCCCCCAGUCCCUUCCUGAGCUCUCCAGACUAUCGAGAGCUCCAGGCCCAGUUGUGAGGUGGGAAGGGCUGGUUCCUGGGUCCCCCAGUCCCUUCCUGAGCUCACCAGACUAUCGAGAGCUCCAGGUCCAGAUGUGAGGUGGAAGGUGCUGGUUCCUGGGUCCCCCAGUCCCUUCCUGAGCUCUCCAGACUAUCGAGAGCUCCAGGUCCAGAUGUGAGGUGGAAGGUGCUGGUUCCUGGGUCCCCCAGUCCCUUCCUGAGCUCUCCAGACUAUCGAGAGCUCCAGGCCCAGUUGUGAGGUGGGAAGGGCUGGUUCUUGGGUCCCGAAUCCCUUCCUGAGCUCUUCAGACUAUCGAGAGCUCCAGGUCC